rnacentral:rRNA from 1 species
GUAGGUGGCAAGCGUUGUCCGGAAUUAUUGGGCGUAAAGCGCGCGCAGGCGGGUCCUUUAAGUCUGAUGUGAAAGCCCACGGGCUCAACCGUGGAGGGUCAUUGGAAACUGGUGGACUUGAGUACAGAAGAGGAAAGCGGAAUUCCAAGUGUAGCGGUGAAAUGCGUAGAGAUUUGGAGGAACACCAGUGGCGAAGGCGGCUUUCUGGUCUGUAACUGACGCUGAGGCGCGAAAGCGUGGGGAGCAAACAGGAUUAGAUACCCUGGUAGUCCACGCCGUAAACGAUGAGUGCUAAGUGUUAGGGGGUUUCCGCCCCUUAGUGCUGCAGCUAACGCAUUAAGCACUCCGCCUGGGGAGUACGGCCGCAAGGCUG